GCACUGUCACAGCAGCCCACUCCAGCACAUGCACUGUCAGUCACGUGUGUGAAAUAAAUGCACCUACAGGACAAUUGGGCAUUGCACAUAGGAUAACACCCGUAAAAUGGAGUGAAAAAACAGGCCUUUAUUUGCAGUCUGCAUUGUACAUUGUGCUUGAUGCCCCAUUUGACUACACAAUUGACAUGACAGAAUUGAGGAAAUGGUGGUGCGUCAUGUUAAUGGAGAACUUUGGACUGGACCGAGAAGUCCAAAGCCUUCAGCAGCCUGUUAGGAUGCAAAAAAGGAAGUUGGAAAAAAUCUCUCAGGAAGAGCCUUUUGACGGACAGGUAACUUCUCAGGGUAGAUGAAACCAAUCUUUUCAUCUGUGAGUUUGCAUCGGAGAAGCAGGUGGUUCAGUCUCCUCGAAAAAGCGUGUCAUAACGGAUCUUACAAACUGCCAGUCAGUGGUGCUUGGAGAACUCUGGGGAUCUUCUUGGAUCAGUUCAGCUUCCACUUAUAAUGUGCAUGGAGGAUGAUGAUGAAGCUGCAGAGGCCUUGGAAGAGUUCUUCAGUACAGAUGUCAUAGAACAUGAUAGUGUAGAGCCUAUGAUGUUUGUUUUUACUUUUAUGCAGGGCAUGCGUACAUUUUUUGAGAAUGUGGUGGACAAAAUGCAUCUAAGAGUCUUUUGUCGAGUACAAAAUUGAACAGGGUUG